GUCAGGAUAGCUCAGCUGGUAGAGCAG
rnacentral:tRNA from 1 species